AACAAAAAUUGAAUUGGAGCCAUAAAGCCCCUUGGAAAAAUACCCUGGUACCUUGCUUACAGGUUUCCUAGCAGCCUUAUCAGGGAACUCUGGGCUUCUGCCCCUGGGAGAGCAGGAAAAAGAGUCAGAAGGAAAAGGACACCUCGCCUCCGGGCCCCCAGUUUUCACCCCGAGCCUUGGGCAGAUGCGUGCCGGCCCGCACCCCUUCACUGGGAUCCUCUGCAACAGGAUCGUCCCCGAGGCCCCAGCUCUCAGGCGAAGGCCUCAGGUGCGUGGCUCCUGUUGGAGUGAAUAAUCGAAGCCCUGACAAGGAAGGCCAGCUUCUAGAAGCUGAGAGCCGGGCUGCUGGCGCGGAGGCGAGGAUCCUCCCGAGCAGGAAAGAAACAGACGUUCGGAUUAAGUAAACAGGGGCUUUAGACAGAGCCACUAGCCUGCCAGAGAGGCCACUUCUGUUUACGAGGCAUGCUCGGGUAAAGAUACAAGGGAGGAAGAAACUUUUUCAAGCUUCACUUCUUAAACCCUCAAGCUUUUAUUUCAGUUGCCUCCUAGGCAUGACCAAAAUGCACAGAUUAGACUCAGCGGAAGUUGAAGAUCACUCUGAAUAUGUCUCCUUCAGCUGCUUUCAUGGAGGAUGCGAUUGCUGUUAAGCCUCCACCAGCAGUGCCCACUGAAGGUUUGUCAUGCCAGUAUAAUGCCAUGGAUGCCCUCCAAGUGAGACGGGCUGGGACCUGGGACCUGGGACUUGGGACCUAGGACCCUUUACAGAAUGCCUGCACCUGGACAAAUAUCUCCUAAAGCAACAAAACACAAAGAAACUAUAAGGGACUAAAAAUCACUGCACACAUGCACAGUUGUGGCAGUUAUGAACAAUAAGAUACAAAAAGGCCAAAACAACUGUCACUUUUGAGGUGCCGGGAGCAAAAGCAGGGUACUACUGCACAUAAUCUGGGCACAUGGCGCCACCAAGGGUGGGCACACCACCCAAACCACCCCUUCUGCCCCACCCACCGAUCUGCCCCCAUCCU